rnacentral:rRNA from 1 species
UACGAAGGUGGCAAGCGUUGUUCAGAUUUACUGGGCGUACAGGGAGCGUAGGCGGUUGGAUAAGCCCUCCGUGAAAUCUCCAGGCUUAACCUGGAAAGUGCAGAGGGGACUGUUCAGCUAGAGGAUGGGAGAGGAGCGCGGAAUUCCCGGUGUAGCGGUGAAAUGCGUAGAGAUCGGGAGGAAGGCCGGUGGCGAAGGCGGCGCUCUGGAACAUUUCUGACGCUGAGGCUCGAAAGCGUGGGGAGCAAACAGG